GUGUGUCAGUAUGUCUGUGUGUGUAUGUCAGUAUGUCUGUCAUAGACACACACAGACAUACUGACAUACAUACACAAACAGACAU